rnacentral:rRNA from 1 species
UAGGGAAUCUUCCGCAAUCGACGGAAGGCUGACGGAGCAACGCCGCGUGAGUGAAGAAGGAUGUCGGUUCGUAAAACGCUGUUGUUAGGGAAGAAAAAAUGUAUAGUAACUAUAUACAAAAGAGACGGUACCUAACCAGAAAGCCACGGCAAACGACGGGCCAGCAGCCGCGGCAAUACGUAGGUGGCAAGCGUUGUCCGGAAUUAUUGGGCGUAAAGCUCGCGGAGGUGGUUUAGAAAGUCUGAAGUGAAAGCCCACGGCUCCACCGUGGAGGGUCAUUGGAAACUACUAAUAUUGUGUGCAGGAGAGAAAAGUGGAAUUACUGGUGUAGCGGUGAAGUGCGUAGAAGUUAGGAGGAACACCGGUGGCGAAUGCGGCUUUUUGGCCUGCAACUGACUCUGAGGCGCGAAAGCAGGGGGAGCAAACAGG